rnacentral:rRNA from 1 species
UACGUAGGGUGCAAGCGUUAAUCGGAAUUACUGGGCGUAAAGCGUGCGCAGGCGGUUGUGUAAGACAGAGGUGAAAUCCCCGGGCUCAACCUGGGAACUGCGCUUGUGACUGCAAGGCUAGAGUACGGCAGAGGGGGGUGGAAUUCCACGUGUAGCAGUGAAAUGCGUAGAGAUGCGGAGGAACACCGAUGGCGAAGGCAGCCCCCUGGGAUGACACUGACGCUCAUGCACGAAAGCGUGGGGAGCAAACAGG